rnacentral:rRNA from 1 species
CGGGGUGAGUAAUGUAUGGGGAUCUGCCUGAUGGCGGGGGAUAACUACUGGAAACGGUAGCUAAUACCGCAUAAUGUCUACGGACCAAAGCGGGGGACCUCCGGGCCUCGCGCCAUCAGAUGAACCCAUAUGGGAUUAGCUUGUAGGUAAGGUAACGGCUUACCUAGGCGACGAUCCCUAGCUGGUCUGAGAGGAUGAUCAGCCACACUGGGACUGAGACACGGUCCAG